ACGGCCAUACCAUGCUGAAUAUACCGGUUCUCGUUAGAUCACCGAAGUCAAGCAUCAUUGGGCUCGGUGAACACCUGGGAACACCGCGUGCCGUUG